AGUGAACGCUGGCGGUAGGCCUAACACAUGCAAGUCGAACGGCAGCACAGUAAGAGCUUGCUCUUACGGGUGGCGAGUGGCGGACGGGUGAGGAAUACAUCGGAAUCUACUUUUUCGUGGGGGAUAACGUAGGGAAACUUACGCUAAUACCGCAUACGACCUACGGGUGAAAGCAGGGGAUCUUCGGACCUUGCGCGAUUGAAUGAGCCGAUGUCGGAUUAGCUAGUUGGCGGGGUAAAGGCCCACCAAGGCGACGAUCCGUAGCUGGUCUGAGAGGAUGAUCAGCCACACUGGAACUGAGACACGGUCCAGACUCCUACGGGAGGCAGCAGUGGCGAAUAUUGGACAAUGGGCGCAAGCCUGAUCCAGCUAUACCGCGUGGGUGAAGAAGGCCUUCGGGUUGUAAAGCCCUUUUGUUGGGAAAGAAAAGCAGCAGGUUAAUACCCCGCUGUUCUGACGGUACCCAAAGAAUAAGCACCGGCUAACUUCGU
rnacentral:rRNA from 1 species